rnacentral:rRNA from 1 species
AGAGUUUGAUCCUGGCUCAGGAUGAACGCUGGCGGCGUGCUUAACACAUGCAAGUCGGACGAUGAAGCUGGAGCUUGCUCCGGUGGAUUAGUGGCGAACGGGUGAGUAACACGUGAGCAAUCUGCCCUUGACUCUGGGAUAACUGCGGGAAACUGUAGCUAAUACCGGAUACGACGCCUUGGGGCAUCCCACGGGCGUGGAAAGAAUUUCGGUCAAGGAUGAGCUCGCGGCCUAUCAGCUAGUUGGUGAGGUAAUGGCUCACCAAGGCGACGACGGGUAGCCGGCCUGAGAGGGUGACCGGCCACACUGGGACUGAGACACGGCCCAGACUCCUACGGGAGGCAGCAGUGGGGAAUAUUGCGCAAUGGGCGAAAGCCUGACGCAGCAACGCCGCGUGAGGGAUGAAGGCCUUCGGGUUGUAAACCUCUUUUAUCAGGGAAGAAGCGAAAGUGACGGUACCUGAAGAAAAAGCACCGGCUAACUACGUGCCAGCAGCCGCGGUAAUACGUAGGGUGCAAGCGUUAUCCGGAAUUAUUGGGCGUAAAGAGCUCGUAGGCGGUUUGUCGCGUCUGCUGUGAAAAUCUGAGGCUCAACCUCGGACUUGCAGUGGGUGCGGGCAGACUAGAGUGCGGUAGGGGAGAAGGGAAUUCCUGGUGUAGCGGUGGAAUGCGCAGAUAUCAGGANGAACACCAAUGGCGANNNCACUUCUCUGGGCCGCUACUGACGCUG